rnacentral:rRNA from 1 species
AGCUCCAAUAGCGUAUAUUAAAGUUGCUGCAGUUAAAAAGCUCGUAGUUGCAUUUCCGAGGCAAGGGAUUAGUCCGACCUUUGGUGGUUAUUUAAUCCUCUUGCCUCGUCCUUGAGUGGUGCUUCUUGGUAUUAAGUUAUCGAGGAGAUAGCCGCUCAUCGUUUACUGUGAGAAAAUUAGAGUGUUCAAAGCAGGCUUAUGCCGUUGAAUAUAUUAGCAUGGAAUAAUAAGAUAGGACCUCGGUACUAUUGUGUUGGUUUGAGAACCAAGGUAAUGAUGAAUAGGGACAGUUGGGGGUAUUCGUAUUCAGUUGUCAGAGGUGAAAUUCUUAGAUUUACGGAAGACGAACUACUGCGAAAGCAUUUACCAAGGAUGUUUUCA